rnacentral:lncRNA from 1 species
AGAUGCAAAAAAAUCAUUUAAUAAAAUUUAACAUUCCUUCAAAAAACUAGGCAUAGAAGAAACAUAUCUUAAUAUAAUAAAGGCCAUAAAUGACAAACCCACAGCUAACAUCAUAUUGAAUGGGAAAAUUCUGAAACCUUUUCCGCUUGAAAAUAAAUCCAUUCUCCCCUGGAUGACAUUUAGGCUGUUUCCACUUCACUGAUUAUUCUUACAUGUGAUUGAGGUAACCAAGCUUAUGUAUUACAGGAAAAGCAAGAAUAAAUACAGUGUACAUUUUUUCAGGUAUGGGUCUAAAUUACAUCUGGGGAUCAAAAAAUGAAUAAAACACAGUCCUCACUCAUAAGGAAUUCAAGCCUAGUUGAGGGACAUUGGUGUGUAAAUAACAAGUGCUAUUCUCUACUGGGAAAAGCUCAGGGUCUACAGUCAUACAGAUCUGAAAUUGAAUCCAGCUUUGUGGCUUAUGAUCUGGGAGACCUUAAGCAAGUUACUUAGCCUCUACUAGGCUUUAGUUUUCUCAUUUAAAAACCAGUGUACCUCCCUCUGAGGUACUGUGAGGAGUAAAGGGGAUAAUGCCUAGAAGGGACUUAGUACUUCUCCAGGUAUUAGUAUGUAAGAUUACCUUAUUAUACAAGCUGCAAAUACAUAGGUACUAUCAGAAAUAUAAGCAAUGUGCCAUGAAAGCAAUUUAUUCAGUCUAAUGAUUAGACCUCUGCUCUGAACUACACAUGCCCUUUAUAAAACCAGCACAGAUCAAGUGUGUUUUAUGAGUUAUGUUUUAGACAUUUUGGAGCAAUAAUCAUAAGGUUAUUACUAUUUCAGAUCAAAGUGCAAAGGCUAUGCAAGGGGUAGCCAUUUCUCUGAAAUUGCCAUCUCCAGGACUGAUUCAGGAAAAAAUACAAAUCUAUUAUCUGCUUUGCUAAAAGAAAAUUGUCUAAUGAAAGUAAAUCACCAGGAAACCCAAUUUACUCUACAGUGAAAUUUGGCUUAAAAUUAAUCUUUCUUAUACCUAGGCAAAGAGUUUUCUGGCAAAACUACAUGGUUUCUUGAAGAAAUAGAUUCACCUAGAAGUCAGCAUGGACCCCAAAGACAGAGUUAUUUUAUACCUGUGUCAUCUUGAACUAUCAUGCAAUGACUUUUUAAAAAUAAACUUUUAGAGCAGUUUUAGAUUUACAGAAAAAUUGCAAAGAAAGAAAAUUCUUGAAUACCCCCCACCCAGUUUUCCCUAAUGUUAACAUCUUACAUUAGGAUGGUGUUAAUCGCCAUCCUAAAGAAACAGGAUGAAUCCCUGCCCAAAAUUUGAUUUGGAUGUCAAGACCAAUGAUGUCACACACGCACACACACACACACACACACACACACACACACACACCCCAAGAGGUUAUGAAAAUCUUUUCUAUAAUGGGAUGUUUUUGAAAAGAGCAAGGGAGCCUUCCCAAAAUGGUUCCAAAUGGCUUAAAUAGCCAGAAAAGGAGACAGGCUUGAGAUUUUUUUAACUGAUACAUAAUAAUUGUAUAUGUAUAUGAAAUACAUCUGACAUUUCAAUUCAUGUCUAUGAUGUGUAAUAAUCAAAUAAGAGCAAUUGACAUAAUCAUCACCUCAAAUAUUUAUCAUGUCUUUGUGCUGAGAACAUUCAAAAUCCUCUCUUCUAGCUAUAUUAAAAUAUAAAAUAAAUUUUGGUUAACUAUAGUCACCCUCCUAUGCUACAGAACAUUAUAACUUAUCUAACUAUAAUUUUGUACCCAUUAACCAACUUCUUCCCAUCCUUUCCCCCUACCCUUCCCAGCCUCUGGUGACCACUAUUCUACUCUCUACUUCUAUGGGAUCUACUUCUUUAGCUCUAAUAUAUGAGUGACAACAUGUGAUACUUAUCGUCUGUGCUGGCCUAUUUCAAUUAACAUAAUGUCCUCCAGGCUCAUUCAUGCUAUUGCAAAUGACAGAAUUUCAUUCUUUUUAUAGCUAAAUAAUAUUUCAUUAUGUAUAUGUACUAGAUUUUUAAAAUUCAUUUACCUGUCGAUGGACAGUUAGAUUGUUUCCAUAUCUGGGCUAUUGUGAGUAGUUCCGCAGUAGCCACAAAUAAAGAUCCUGCACAAAGCCUUAGUGCUCUGAAAACAUCCAUAAAUAAAACCAAUUGACUCUACUCAAAUUACACCGCCGUUAAGGGCACAUCAAUCUUCCUAGAUAAGAAAGAAAAAGCACAAGAACUUUGGCAAUUCAAAAACGCAGAGUGUCUCCUUACCCCUUAUGACCACAAUAGCUCCCCAGCAGUGGUUUCUAGCCAAACAAAAAUGGCUAAAAAGACAGACAAGAACUCAAAAUCUCAAUGAAGUUCAUCAAGAUUCAGGAGAAAGUUGAAACCCGAUUUAA